rnacentral:rRNA from 1 species
AUUGAACGCUGGCGGCAGGCCUAACACAUGCAAGUCGAACGAGUGGCGGACGUGUGAGGAAUGUCUGGGAAACGCCCUGAUGGAGGGGGAUAACUAUCGGAAACGGUAGUUAAAACCGCAUAACAUCGGGAGUGUACAGAUGGGAUUAGCGUGUUGGUGGGGUAACGGCUCAACAAGUCGACGACCCACAGCUGGUCUGAGGGGAUGACCCGCCACCCUGGGCCGAGGACAAGGUCCAACCUCCUACGGGAGGCAGCAGUGAGGAAUAUUGCACAAUGGGCGCUAGCCUGAUGCGGCCAUGCCGCGUGUAUGAAGAAGGCCUUCGGGUUGUAAAGUACUUUCAGUCGGGAGGCGUUACCGACAGAAGAAGCACCGGCUAACUCCGUGCCAGCCGCCGCGGUAAUUC